rnacentral:misc_RNA from 1 species
ACCAUUUGAAUAUGUACUAUUCAUAUGGUCAAUUCUAUCCAGCAACAAGGUACCAAAUCCGGAUUCAAGUAGAUUUUAGGUUUCCUUAGGGUCAGUUUUUGGGUAAGGUUUCUACAUGAAAAUUGUUGCAUUAUGACCUUACUUUCAUCUUCAAUUGGCCUCACACCAAUUGGAGUAACAGAAUUCAACUUAUAGUCUCCUAACUGGUCAAAGUUCAAGUUGCCAGAAUUUGGCCAUUACACAUACACACUUCAAUUCAAUUCCAUGCAUUCAAAUGCGCUUAUAAGCACACCAAUUGACCAAUUUAAGCAUCAAUAAUAUCAAUUGGUCAUCAAUUCAUCAAAAUUCCCAAUUUUACACGAACACCCUAAUGGCCAUAAACCCUAACUUUGCAAUUAACACAAUUCAUGCAAAUUCAUUCACUAAUCAUGUCCAACACUUCAUAACACAUCUUAAAACAUGUUUAAUUUAAAUUAACUCAUCAAAUCUUCAUCCUCACAAUUUGGCCGAAAUUUUUACCUCUCCCCCAACAUGCAUAAUUUUUCAAUUUUUCCAAGAAUCUCUACUUAUUCAGCUUCAAUCCAAUCAAUUUCACAAAAGAAAAAGCUUGGAAUUGCUUACCUCAACUUGAUUACUUCAAGUCUUUCAAACUCUUCAAUUUUUCCUUCUCUUUCUUGCUCCAAUUUUCUUACCAAGACUCAAACACAAGUUUUAACUAAGGGAGCUAAUAAAUUUAUGGCUGAAAUUAGGGUUAGAAAAGCUUUUAAAGUGAGCUUCAAUGGAGGAAAUGAGGGAUG